GCACCAAGCGUCGCACAGCACACGAACGUAACGCACAGUCAGUUUCUUCUGUUUACUCUUGAAUUGAUUCCCGGUGAUUUAAGCCACCAUUUGAUGCACCGUUUGUUGCUACUUAAGCUCCACACCGUCCUCUUCAUUUGCCCUCAAACCGCACAGACCGAGAGCCUCCAGGCUGCUCUAAUUUUACCUCGCAAUUCCACGGUACCGUCACGGUAAAUCGUCGAUUGCGCGACGGCGCCAUCUUCGACUGUGAGCACGUAGGCGAGAGGUUUUCCGGCGAGCAAUUUCCGGCGAACUACUGCACCUCGACGCCGCGACUUUGUCAUCGAGUUUCCCUUGUCAAGCUGAGCUUCACCGUCUUCCCCGCCAUCGCCAAGGAGCACCGGAACGUCAACGCCGGCGACAUCAGACAAUACUGCUGCGCGUUCCCAUUGUGAUUGUGCUGAUUGCAACGAGUGUUUUUGCGAAGAGUGUACCAACUCCUCAUCUCACCAAGGCAAGUGACACACACCAAAAGUCCCAGUUUUAAUUCUUGCACAG